UUGACGGGGCCCGCACAAGCGGUGGAGCAUGUGGUUUAAUUCGACGCAACGCGAAGAACCUUACCUGGGCUUGACAUCCCGAUCGUACCUGCUGGAAACAGCGGGUCAGUUCGGCUGGAUCGGAGACAGGUGCUGCAUGGCUGUCGUCAGCUCGUGUCGUGAGAUGUUGGGUUAAGUCCCGCAACGAGCGCAACCCUUGUCCUUAGUUGCCAUCAUUUAGUUGGGCACUCUAAGGAGACUGCCGGUGUUAAACCGGAGGAAGUGGGGAUGACGUCAAGUCCUCAUGGCCCUUAUGACCAGGGCUACACACGUGCUACAAUGGCCGGUACAAAGAGUUGCGAUACCGCGAGGUGGAGCUAAUCUCAUAAAGCCGGUCUCAGUUCGGAUUGGAGUCUGCAACUCGACUCCAUGAAGUUGGAAUCGCUAGUAAUCGCGGAUCAGCACGCCGCGGUGAAUACGUUCCCGGGCCUU
rnacentral:rRNA from 1 species